AUACUUCCAGCAGAUGAAUCAUUACGUGAAAAUGAUAAUGGAAGGCCAGUGCUUCUAGUAGAUAGAACCUUGCGUGGUGGAGAGCCGGUAUUUCUAGAAACAGGAAACAUUUUUCACAGAGCCAAGAAUGAAAGUAGAUUUUUUUGUUUUGAAAUCAUUUGUUUUACGGAAGUGAUAGAAUAACUUAUCAAAAAGAGAAAAGUCAUAUAUUUCUACUUCUUCAAAAAGAUGUGAAUUAAUUUUCGGUAAGAGGGUGCCAAACUAUGACUUUUUAUAAUUCAAAAGUAAAAAAAAAAGCUUCUGUUACCUCCCAAACGGGCUCUUAUUAGUAUUCUGCACUUUAUUUGUUUUUUCUGUAUAUUGUUGCAGUAGUUCACAUUGUUUUUUCAAUAGUUUCAGUGGUUUGUGGUUUAAGCCAUUAUUGUUAUGCUCUACAUGCUUUUUCUUUUCUUUCUUUCUUUUUAUAGUCAAGGAAAAAUGAACUCUUUGCUUGUAUUUCCUUCUUUUUGUCUCUGCCCUCUAGUGUUGUUUUGGCUUUCCAUUUUGGUUUAACUUAUUUUUUUAUUUGCUUCUUUUUUUUUUAAGUUUUUGCAUUUCCUUUUUAUGUUUUAGAAAGAAGAAGGCCGCCCACAAGACAACCACCACAGACGACAAAAGGCUUCAGAGCACCCUCAAGAGAAUAGGCGUCAACGCCAUCCCUGCCAUCGAGGAAGUUAACAUCUUCAAGGAUGCCGUUGUUAUCCAGUUUCUAAACCCCAAAGUUCAAGCAUCCAUUGCUGCUAAUACUUGGUUGUUAAUGGUGCUCCACAAACACAGAGGUUGCAGGAUAUACUCCCUAACAUUAUCCACCAAUUCAGUUUGUUGAGCCUAGUUUGAUUUUGGGUUAAGUGAUGAUGACAAACAUUUAAU